rnacentral:tRNA from 1 species
GGGGUUUUAGUUUAAAGAAGAACGAGUGGCUGUUACCCAUUAAGUAUAAGAUUUAUAAGCCUCG